AUUGAACGCUGGCGGCAUGCUUUACACAUGCAAGUCGAACGGUAACAGGCCGCAAGGUGCUGACGAGUGGCGAACGGGUGAGUAAUGCAUCGGAACGUGCCCAGUCGUGGGGGAUAACGCAGCGAAAGCUGUGCUAAUACCGCAUACGAUCUAUGGAUGAAAGCGGGGGACCGUAAGGCCUCGCGCGAUUGGAGCGGCCGAUGUCAGAUUAGGUAGUUGGUGGGGUAAAGGCCCACCAAGCCGACGAUCUGUAGCUGGUCUGAGAGGACGACCGGCCACACUGGGGCGGAGACACGGCCCAGACUCCUACGGGAGGCAGCAGUGGGGAAUUUUGGACAAUGGGCGCAAGCCUGAUCCAGCAAUGCCGCGUGCAGGAAGAAGGCCUUCGGGUUGUAAACUGCUUUUGUACGGAACGAAACGGUCUGGGUUAAUACCCUGGGCUAAUGACGGUACCGUAAGAAUAAGCACCGGCUAACUACGUGCCAGCAGCCGCGGUAAGAC
rnacentral:rRNA from 1 species